AUACGGAGGAUCCGAGCGUUAUCCGGAUUUAUUGGGUUUAAAGGGAGCGUAGGUGGAUUGUUAAGUCAGUUGUGAAAGUUUGCGGCUCAACCGUAAAAUUGCAGUUGAAACUGGCAGUCUUGAGUACAGUAGAGGUGGGCGGAAUUCGUGGUGUAGCGGUGAAAUGCUUAGAUAUCACGAAGAACACCGAUUGCGUAGGCAGCUGACCAGACCGCAAAUGACGCUCAUGCACGAAAGUGCGGGGAUCGAACAGGAUUAGAUACCCUGGUAGUCCGCACAGUAAACGAUGAAUACUUGUUUUCGGCGAUAUAAUGUCGGAGGCAAAGCGAAAGCGAUAAGUAUUCCACCUGGGGAGUACGCCGGCAACGGUGAAACUCAAAUGAAUUGACGGGG
rnacentral:rRNA from 1 species